CAGGUCGAGCAGGGAGAUCUCCUUGGGGCCGGCCUUGCUGCUAGGGAUCUUCCUCCGCUUGGCCUCCACUACGGUUGGUGCCUCAGUGCCAGAGUCCGAUCCUGAGGAGCUGCUCUCAGAGGCACUGGCCUCCUCUGAUGAGGACUCAGCAUGACCCUUCUUCCCCUGUGGCCCCGCAGCCUUUUUCACCUUUUUGCCCUCAGCCUCCUCCUCCUCCUCACUGCCCACGCUCCUUGGGGAUGCCUUCCGGGGGGCCUCCCUUCUCCUUCUUCUUCUUCCUCUUCUCCUCCUCCUCCUCCCUCCCC
rnacentral:lncRNA from 1 species